rnacentral:sRNA from 1 species
GGCUGUGGGGCUGCGGCGGUGGGGACGGGCCCCGGCGUUCUGUGACAUCCCCCCGCCUCCCCUCGUCUUGUCCCGGCUGGCGGCGACCGGCCUCAGCUGCAGCGGGCCCGGGGCGUGGGGCCUGGGUUUUUUGUGACAUCGUAAACAUGAGCCCCACACAGUGGGACUUCCCUGUGGAAUUAUGUUGCCGGCCUAUGGCCUUUGUUACUCUAACGGGCCUGGAUGUAGUUUAUAAUGCAGUCCAUCGAGCUGUCUGGGACGCCUUCUGUGCCAAUCGGAGAGCUGAUCGAGUACCAAUUUCUUUCAAGGUGCUCCCAGGUGACCAUGAGUAUCCCAAAUGUAGACCCAAGGUAACUUUUCAAUUUCUGCCAAUGUUUGCAGAGAACUUCAUAUGAGUGGUACAUUCCUAAAGGGAUCUUAAAGACUGGCUGGAUGAAUAAGCAUCUGAAUCUGGUGCCAGCCCUGGUGGUUGUGUUCUAUGAACUGGACUGGGAUGAGCCUCA